GUACGGAAGGCAGCAGUAAGGAAUAUUGGACAAUGGGCGCAAGCCUGAUCCAGCCAUGCCGCGUGCAGGAUUAAGGCCCUAUGGGUUGUAAACUGCUUUUGGCGGGGAAAAAACCCUCUCACGUGUGAGAGGCUGAUGGUACCCGCAGAAUAAGGAUCGGCUAACUCCGUGCCAGCAGCCGCGGUAAUACGGAGGAUCCAAGCGUUAUCCGGAUUUAUUGGGUUUAAAGGGUGCGUAGGCGGAUUAGUAAGUCAGUGGUGAAAGCCUGCAGCUUAACUGUAGAAUUGCCAUUGAUACUGCUAGUCUUGAAUGUAGUUGAGGUGGGCGGAAUAUGACAUGUAGCGGUGAAAUGCUUAGAUAUGUCAUAGAACACCGAUUGCGAAGGCAGCUCACUAAGCUAUGAUUGACGCUGAGGCACGAAAGCGUGGGGAGCAAACAGGAUUAGAUACCCCAGUAGUCC
rnacentral:rRNA from 1 species